rnacentral:rRNA from 1 species
UACGUAGGUGGCAAGCGUUGUCCGGAUUUACUGGGUGUAAAGGGCGUGCAGCCGGAGAGACAAGUCAGAUGUGAAAUCCACGGGCUCAACCCGUGAACUGCAUUUGAAACUGUUUCCCUUGAGUGUCAGAGAGGUAAUCGGAAUUCCUUGUGUAGCGGUGAAAUGCGUAGAUAUAAGGAAGAACACCAGUGGCGAAGGCGGAUUACUGGACAAUAACUGACGGUGAGGCGCGAAAGCGUGGGUAUCGAACAGG